UCCGAAAUAGUAUAGUGGCUAGUAUACCCCGCUCUCAUCAGCAAUGAUCGUUCCGGGGAGACCGGGGUUCAAUUCCCCGUUUCGGAA